GGAGGAAGAAAAAAAAAAAAAAUACUCUUCCUCUCUAUAACUCUCUUGGUCUCUCUCUCUCUCUCUCAGUCUCUCUAUCUCUCUUGCUUUCUCCGAUUUUCUUUUCUUCUCUGAGAAGGAGUUAGAGGAAGACAACGACCUCCCUGAUCUUAUCACCCUCCACCAACUUUCUCGAUCUUUUUAGGCAGAAAAGGGAUCGAAAGGAGGGGAGAGGGGCCGGGUGGGAAGGCUGGAAGCUCCAGCUCCUCGUUUCGGAGAUUAAGUUGAAAUGGAAAGGAAGGUGAAAGAUGAGGAGACUGGUUUCACAGAGAUGAAGGAUAUGGACACAUAUAUGAUGCUACAUAUGGGCUGCCUUUGAGGUGAACAAUUGUCCUGCAGUUGGUGUGGUUGCUAGUGUACAGCCAGUAUCCAUGGUUAAAGUUACUAUGAUGAGGUUCAGUUAUUCGUGUACAACUGUUUGAGCAACAUAUUUCUUAAGUUGAUGGUGUUGCCUUUUGCAUUUAUUUGUCUAAUCAAAUUAAUGCACUGUGGUGACGGCUAUUGGCGGUUAUUACCCUUUGUCAUUUCGUGUGGUGGUGAUAUUCAGUUUACAGCUUUAUGCUGGGACAGCUAUAUGCUGGGUUUACAGUACGGAUGCGACCACGUCUUUCCCCGGGGGCGUAGGAUACCGUACUGGGUUUACCGCCAAGUGCGGGGUUUAGUGUGGGUGUGACCACGUCUUGCUUGGGGGGGGCGUAGGGUUACCACACUGGUUACGGCCGAGUGCCGGGUUUUACCACUCGAGUGACGGGUUUGCCGCCAAUGCAGGGUGCGACUGCCGAGUGCCGGAUUUUAUUGCCCAGUGUGGGGUUUACCACCGAGUGCGGGGUUUUAUGGCCGAGUGCCCGAUUUUACCGCUGAAUGCGGGGUUUACCUCCGAGUGUGGGGAUUACGGCCGAGUGUCGGAUUUUACCGCCGAGUGCGGGGAUCUCAUGACACAAUCAUGAAAAUGUGGAAGAGAUUCUCAUUUGCGUGAACAUGUGCAAAUUUAUUACUUGUUCAUAUACCGUGCAUCAUAUAUGUUUUUAUUGAUCGACCUAUUAUAAAUUUCAAGGAAAGUAGCUAAUCUGCUACAAUUCAAAGAAAGACCUGGUUGAUGAAAAGGUU